rnacentral:rRNA from 1 species
AGUGAACGCUGGCGGCGUGCCUAAUACAUGCAAGUCGAACGGAGUGGCGCACGGGUGAGUAAUGUAUAGCUAAUCUGCCCUACACUAGAGGACAACAGUUGGGAACGACAGCUAAUAAUCUAUAGUGUAGGAUGAGGCUAUAUUGUAUCAGCUAGCUGGUGAGGUAAUGGCUCACCAAGGCUAUGACGCAUAACUGGUCUGAGAGGAUGAUCAGUCACACUGGAAGUGAGACACCGUCCAGACUCCUACGGGAGUGAGCAGUAGGGAAUAUUGCUCAAUGGGGGAAACCCUGAAGCAGCAUCGCCGCGUGGAGGAUGACACUUUUCGGAGCGUAAACUCCUUUUGUUAGGGAAGCGGUACCUAACGAAUAAGCACCGGCUAACUCCGUGCCAGCAGCCGCGGUAAUUC